rnacentral:rRNA from 1 species
AGAGUUUGAUCAUGGCUCAGGAUUAACGCUGGCGGUAUGCCUAACACAUGCAAGUCGAACGGAAUACUCGAAAAGAGAAUCUCACACUAGUGAGAGGUUCUCCAACCGAGUAUUUAGUGGCGGACGGGUGAGUAACACGUUGGAACCUGCCCCGAAGUGGGGAAUAACUGCUCGAAAGAGUAGCUAAUACCCCAUAGUAUCCGGUUUAUCCGGAUUAAAGAUUUAUCGCUUCGGGAGGGGCCUGCGUCUGAUUAGCUUGUUGGUGGGGUAAAAGCUCACCAAGGCGACGAUCAGUAGCUGGUUCGAGAGGAUGACCAGCCACACUGGGACUGAGAUACGGCCCACACUCCUACGGGAGGCAGCAGUGAGGAAUCUUCCACAAUGGACGAAAGUCUGAUGGAGCAAUACCGCGUGCAGGACGACUCUUUUCGGAGUGUAAACUGCUUUUGUCGUCAAAGAUUAUGACUGUAGACGAAGAAUAAGGACCGGCUAACUACGUGCCAGCAGCCGCGGUAAUACGUAGGGUCCAAGCGUUAUCCGGAAUUACUGGGCGUAAAGCGUACGCAGAUGGCGUGAUAGGGUAAGUUGUGAAAUCUUGUGGCUCAACCAUAUAGACUAUGACUUAAACCAUCACACUAGAGGUUGGUAGAGGCAAGCGUAUUUUCCGGUUGUAGCAGUGACAUGCGUAAAUAUCGGAAGGAACACCAAUUGGCGAUGCAGCUUGCUGCGCCACACCUGACGUUGAGGUACGAAAGCGUGGAGGAGCGAACGGGAUUAGAUACCCCGGUAGUCACGCAGUAACGAUGAUAACUAGUGGGGAUAUGGAAAUUCCACCCCUCGUGUGUCACGAAGCUAACGCGAUAGUAUGCGGCUGGGGGAGUACGAACGCUAGUCAACUAGAUGACGGAUCUGGCACGCUGAGAAGUAUUAAAUGAGCACGCUUAAAGCGCGUUUAC